rnacentral:rRNA from 1 species
AACGCAGGUGGUUUGGUAAGUCAGGGGUGAAAGUCCGCAGCUUAACUGUGGCACUGCCUCUGAUACUGCCUUUCUUGAGUAGAGUAGGGGGAAGUGGAAUUCCGAGUGUAGAGGUGAAAUUCGUAGAUAUUCGGAGGAACACCGGUGGCGAAGGCGGCUUCCUGGACUCUAACUGACACUCAUGUUCGAAAGCGUGGGUAGCAAACAGGAUUAGAUACCCUGGUAGUCCACGCCCUAAACGAUGGGCACUAGGUGUGGGAGGUAUCGACCCCUUCCGUGCCGCAGCUAACGCAUUAAGUGCCCCGCCUGGGGAGUACGGCCGCAAGGUUGAAA